GGCGUUGCCCAAGGAUGGGGCCGCGGCCGAUCAGGUUGUUGGUGAGGUAAUGGCUCACCAAGCCUAUAACCGGUGCGGGCCGUGAGAGCGGGAGCCCGGAGAUGGGCACUGAGACAAGGGCCCAGGCCCUACGGGGCGCAACAGGCGCGAAAACUUCGCAAUAAGCGAAAGCUUGACGGGGCUAUCCCGAGUGCCAUCUGAGGAUGGCUUUUCUCUAGUAUAGAUAGCUGGGGGAAUAAGGAGAGGGCAAGUCUGGUGUCAGCCGCCGCGGUAAUACCAGCUCUCCGAGUGGUGUGGACGAUUAUUGGGCCUAAAGCAUCCGUAGCCGGCUGAGCAAGUCCCCUGUUAAACCCAACGAUUCAAUCGUUGGCUCGCGGGGGAUACUGCUCGGCUAGGGGGCGAGAGAGGCCGUCGGUAUUCCCGGGGUAGGGGUGAAAUCCUAUAAUCCCGGGAGGACCACCAGUGGCGAAGGCUGUCGGCUAGAACGCGCUCGACGGUGAGGGAUGAAAGCUGGGGGAGCGAACCGGAUUAGAUACCCGGGUAGUCCCAGCUGUAAACGAUGCAGGCUAGGUGUUAGGGCGGCCACGUGCCGCUCUAGUGCCGCAGGGAAGCUGUUAAGCCUGUCGCCUGGGGAGUACGGCCGCAAGGCUGAAACUUAAAGGAAUUGGCGGGGGAGCACCACAAGGGGUGAAGCUUGCGGUUUAAUUGGGCAACGCCGGAAAUCUCACCGGGAGCGACAGCAGAAAAAGCCAGAUUAAAGGUCUUGCCAGACGAGCUGAGAGGAGGUGCAUGGCCGUCGCCAGUUCGUGCCGUGAGGUGUCCUGUUAAGUCAGGCAACGAUCGAGACCCGUAUCCCCCGUUGCUACCAGCCAUGCGCUGGGCACACUGGGGAGACCGCCGUCGAUAAGACGGAGGAAGGAGCGGGCCACGGCAGGUCAGUAUGCCCCGAAUCUCCCGGGCCACACGCGAGCUGCAAUGGCAGGUACAAUGGGUUCCGACCUCGAAAGGGGAAGGCAAUCCCGAAAACCUGCCGUAGUUGGGAUCGAGGGUUGUAACCCACCCUCGUGAACAUGGAAUCCCUAGUAAUCGCGCGUCAUCAUCGUGCGGUGAAUACGUCCCUGCUCCUUGCACACACCGCCCGUCGUUCCACCCGAGCGAUUUUUGGGUGAGGCGUGGUCUUCCUUGGCUGCGUCGAAUCCA
rnacentral:rRNA from 1 species